GCCAGCAGGCAUAUCACCCUGCAACUCACAACUGGCAGUCCACUGAAGCUCAGCAGGUGUGAGCCUGGCUAGUUCCUGGAUGGGAGACCUCCUGGCAAACACUGAGGUUGCUGCUGGAA
rnacentral:rRNA from 1 species